rnacentral:rRNA from 1 species
AGUGAACGCUGGCGGUAGGCCUAACACAUGCAAGUCGAACGGCAGCACAGUAAGAGCUUGCUCUUACGGGUGGCGAGUGGCGGACGGGUGAGGAAUACAUCGGAAUCUACUUUUUCGUGGGGGAUACGUAGGGAAACUUACGCUAAUACCGCAUACGACCUACGGGUGAAAGCAGGGGAUCUUCGGACCUUGCGCGAUUGAAUGAGCCGAUGUCGGAUUAGCUAGUUGGCGGGGUAAAGGCCCACCAAGGCGACGAUCCGUAGCUGGUCUGAGAGGAUGAUCAGCCACAGUGGAGAAGAGACAACGUCGAGAGCACGACGGGAGGCAGCAGGGGGGAAUGUUGAAGAAUGGGUGCAAGUCGGACAAAGCUAUAGCGAGGGGGUAAAGAAGGCAUUAGGGUCGUAAAGCCGUUUUGUGGGGAAAAAAAAGCAGCAGGCUGAUACCCCGCUGUUCGGAGGGUAACGAAAAAAUAAACACGGGCUAACUUGGUG